UCAGGACGAACGCUGGCGGCGUGCUUAACACAUGCAAGUCGAGCGAUGAAGCUUCUUCGGAAGUGGAUUAGCGGCGGACGGGUGAGUAACACGUGGGGUAACCUGCCUCAUAGAGGGGAAUAGCCUUCCGAAAGGAAGAUUAAUACCGCAUAAGAUUGUAAUAUCGCAUGAUAUAGCAAUUAAAGGAGUAAUCCGCUAUGAGAUGGACCCCGCGUCGCAUUAGCUAGUUGGUGAGGUAACGGCUCACCAAGGCGACGAUGCGUAGCCGACCUGAGAGGGUGAUCGGCCACAUUGGGACUGAGACACGGCCCAGACUCCUACGGGAGGCAGCAGUGGGGAAUAUUGCACAAUGGGGGAAACCCUGAUGCAAGCAACGCCGCGUGAGUGAUGACGGUCUUCGGAUUGUAAAGCUCUGUCUUCAGGGACGAUAAUGACGGUACCUGAGGAGGAAGCCACGGCUAACUACGUGCCAGCCGCGGC
rnacentral:rRNA from 1 species